CGGUUCUCGUUAGAUCACCGAAGUCAAGCAUCAUUGGGCGCGGUCAGUAUUUGGGUGGGUGACUACCUGGCAACACCGCGUGCCGUU